rnacentral:tRNA from 1 species
UCUGGAUGUGGCUCAGUGCAGAGUGCUUGCCUAGUAUUUGGGAGGCCCUGGGUUCAAUCCCCAGCACCAUAA